rnacentral:rRNA from 1 species
CUACGGGGUGCAGCAGGCGAGAAAACUUUGCAAUGUGCGAAAGCACGACAAGGUUAAUCCGAGUGGUUUCUGCUAAAGGAACCUUUUGUCGGUCCUAGAAACACCGAUGAAUAAGGGGUGGGCAAGUUCUGGUGUCAGCCGCCGCGGUAAAACCAGCACCUCAAGUGGUCAGGAUGAUUAUUGGGCCUAAAGCAUCCGUAGCCGGCUCUAUAAGUUUUCGGUUAAAUCUGUACGCUUAACGUACAGGCUGACGGGAAUACUGCAUAGCUAGGGAGUGGGAGAGGUAGACGGUACUCGGUAGGAAGGGGUAAAAUCCUUUGAUCUAUUGAUGACCACCUGUGGCGAAGGCGGUCUACCAGAACACGUCCGACGGUGAGGGAUGAAAGCUGGGGGAGCAAACCGGAUUAGAUACCCGCGUAGUC